rnacentral:rRNA from 1 species
AGAGUUUGAUUAUGGCUCAGGAUGAACGCUGGCGGCGUGCUUAACACAUGCAAGUCGAACGGGCUUAGAUCGGAAGCUUGCUUUAGAUUAAGUUAGUGGCGGACGGGUGAGUAACGCGUGGGUAACCUACCCUGUGCAGGGGGAUAGCAGCUGGAAACGGCUGAUAAAACCGCAGUAACACGGCGAUGCCGCAUGGCAAUGCCGUCAAAGUAUUUAUAGGCACAGGAUGGGCCCGCGUCUGAUUAGCUAGUUGGCGGGGCAACGGCCCACCAAGGCGACGAUCAGUAGCCGGCCUGAGAGGGUGAACGGCCACAUUGGGACUGAGACACGGCCCAAACUCCUACGGGAGGCAGCAGUGGGGAAUAUUGGACAAUGGGGGAAACCCUGAUCCAGCGACGCCCGCGUGAGUGGAGAAGUAUUUCGGUAUGUAAAGCUCUAUCAGCAGGGAAGAUGAUGACGGUACCUGACUAAGAAGCACCGGCUAAAUACGUGCCAGCAGCGGC